CAGAAGCUCCAGUUCCUGGAACAACACUUGGGAUUCUGAGAGCUUUGUUAUUUUGGCCCCUCCUUUCUUUGCAAAUGCAUUGAUUAGAGUGGACUUGCCUGCAUUUUGAGACCCAAUAACCCAUACAUCCCCUCGAGGACCAGCCAAUUCCUUGACAAAUGACAACAAAUUCCUCACACCCAAAUCCUUAUGAGCACUAACCAAAUAAACUCCACUUAGCUUAGGUGCCCCUCCUGCCC
rnacentral:misc_RNA from 1 species